AUUGAACGCUGGCGGUAGGCCUAACACAUGCAAGUCGAACGGCAGCACAGUAAGAGCUUGCUCUUACGGGUGGCGAGUGGCGGACGGGUGAGGAAUACAUCGGAAGCUACUUUUUCGUGGGGGAGAACGUAGGGAAACUUACGCUAAUACCGCAGACGACCUACGGGUGAAAGCAGGGGAUCUUCGGACCUUGCGCGAUUGAAUGAGCCGAUGUCGGAUUAGCUAGUUGGCGGGGUAAAGGCCCACCAAGGCGACGAUCCGUAGCUGGUCUGAGAGGAUGAUCAGCCACACUGGAACUGAGACACGGUCCAGACUCCUACGGGAGGCAGCAGUGGGGAAUAUUGGACAAUGGGCGCAAGCCUGAUCCAGCCAUGCCGCGUGGGUGAAGAAGGCCUUCGGGUUGUAAAGCACUUUUGUUGGGAAAGAAAAGCAGCAAGUUAAUACCCCGCUGUUCUGACGUUACCAAAAGAAUAAGCACCGGCUAACUUCGUG
rnacentral:rRNA from 1 species